UACGGGGGAUGCAAGCGUUAUCCGGAAUCAUUGGGCGUAAAGCGCCUGUAGGUUGUUUAUUAAGUCUGUUGUUAAAGACUAGGGCUUAACCCUAGAAAAGCAAUGGAAACUAAUAGACUAGAGUAUGGCAGGGGUAAAGGGAAUUUCUAGUGUAGCGGUGAAAUGCGUAGAUAUUAGAAAGAACACCGGUGGCGAAAGCGCUUUACUGGACCAUUACUGACACUCAGAGGCGAAAGCUAGGGUAGCCAAAGGGAUUAGAUACCCCUGUAGUCCUAGCCGUAAACGAUGGAUACUAGAUGUUGCGCUUAUUGUGCAGUGUCGUAGCUAACGCGUUAAGUAUCCCGCCUGGGGAGUACGCUCGCAAGGGUG
rnacentral:rRNA from 1 species